GUUGCGGAGGCCGAGUAGUUAAGGCGUUGGCAUAGAAAUCCAAUGAAAUCUUCCCGGCGCAGCUCGAAUCCUGCCCGCAACG
rnacentral:tRNA from 1 species